rnacentral:rRNA from 1 species
GAUGAAGCCUUCGGGUCGUAAAACUCUGUCCUCAAGGAAGAUAAUGACGGUACUUGAGGAGGAAGCCCCGGCUAACUACGUGCCAGCAGCCGCGGUAAUACGUAGGGGGCUAGCGUUAUCCGGAUUGACUGGGCGUAAAGGGUGCGUAGGCGGUCUUGCAAGUCAGGAGUGAAAGGCUACGGCUCAACCGUAGUAAGCUCUUGAAACUGGGAGACUGGAGUGAAGGAGAGG